AGGGAUAUAGCUCAGUAGUAGAGCACCUGAUUUGCAUAUAGAAGGCCCCAGGUUCAAUUCCUGCAUCUCCA